rnacentral:lncRNA from 1 species
CCCCAAAGCUGCUGCUGCUCAGAGGUGACACCCCCUCUUGGUGUGGGACUCAGGGUCCAGCCUGGAGUCUGACAGCUGCAACUCCAGGAAGGGGUUGAGACAGGAGAGCCCGGCCCCAGCUUCCUCUGGGCGGGGCACCCACACCACAAGUUCUUAGGCCACCGGGGCAGUGGCCCCAGAUGCCAGCUUGCCCGAAGGGAGCCUGACGCUAGGAGGUGAGCCAAGCGGGAGGGAGCCCCAUCCUAUCCCGGCCGCGGGAGCCCAGGCGGGGGCGGCCAGGGAGGGCCGGCCGGGAGGUAGGAGCCUGAGCCCAGGGCCCCGGGGCCCCCCACACGUGCUAUUUCCAGGAGCCAUGGGAGGCAUCCAGCUUGCUCUGCUGCUCUUCCUGCUGGGCUGGGAGCGAGGCCUCAGCCUGCAGUGCUACAACUGUACUAAGAACAUGGAUAGAGCCAAAGGGUGCCAGCCCGCCCAGUGUGCCACAUCUGACAGCAUCUGCGUCAGGGUUAAGUUGACCAUGGCCUUUAGCAAUGGAACCAGAAACCACGAGCAGUACAAGGGCUGCGUACCCUCCUGUGCGGAGAUCAAACAAGAAAUGAGCCUGAUCUCCGGGCAUAUCAUUCCGGAGACCGAGAACGAGCCCGUCGCCAUGAUGUAUAUAGUGAAGGAGGUGACUUGCUGUGAAGAGGACCUGUGUAACGGGGGACCCCGGCCCAGGCGCAGCCCCUGGGCCCUGGCGGCGGGGCUCCUGCUCAGCCUCGGGCCCGCCUGCCUCUGGGCCCUGCUGUGAGCGCCCGGCUGGCCACGCAAACCAGGGAACCACGCGGGGUGCUUCAUGCCGCGGGUCCUGGAGCAAGCGCGCGGGUACACCUGCGCAUGCGUACAUAUGCACCCGCACGCACACUCACACACGCGCGCGCGCGUGCACAUUUGCACCAGUUCGCACGCGCACAGAUGCACGCACACAUUCACACGUGCACAGGCUCUCCUGCACCCCCCACCCCCACCAGCCUGCCCCGUUUUGCAAACACCAUCAGUUGACCACUGACCCAGGACGCAGGGGCCGCUAGUCCCGACAGCGCCGCCCGGGGUCCCUCCAACGGGGUGCCAACGACGGAGGGAGAAUAAACGCUUUCUACACCCCGGUGUUCUUCGCUUGCCAUUGGACCCGGCAGGGCAGGGCGGGGGCUGGUGUGGCCUGCCCGGGAGGGGGCUCAACUUCCGCGUGGUUCUCCCUGAGCCGGGCGAGCCCCUGUGGCCCGAGGGACUAUGACCGGGGUCAGCUCUGCGCGGCCGGGACCCUCCCCGGGGGCAUCCGCCCAGGGCGUCCGGUGGCCUAUUCAUGGGAGCGGGGUGAGCACCCUCCGCAGAGGCAGGGGCAGGUUGGGGAGGGGGGCCUGGGCCGGGUCCUCCCUCCUCACCCCAGCAGCCACACACCCUGAUGAGGGCGUGUAUGCGGGCAGGGCUGCUCUGCGGGCAGAGGAGUUAGAAGAACCAGGGCUGGUGGGCCCGUCUCCAGCCCGCUGAUGUCGCCACGCUGUCCCCGGGUGACCUGGGGCCCACUUCCCUGGCCUGCCCCGGGGACCUCUCUCUGGCGACCGGGGCCCUGGGCGCACGCUGGGUCCCCUGCCCCUGCGGCAGCCACGGCCAGAGCCGCU